GAGUGGCGAACUGGUGAGUAACACGUGGGAAACCUGCCCAGAAGCGGGGGAUAACACCUGGAAACAGAUGCUAAUACCGCAUAACAACUUGGACCGCAUGGUCCGAGCUUGAAAGAUGGCUUCGGCUAUCACUUUUGGAUGGUCCCGCGGCGUAUUAGCUAGAUGGUGGGGUAACGGCUCACCAUGGCAAUGAUACGUAGCCGACCUGAGAGGGUAAUCGGCCACAUUGGGACUGAGACACGGCCCAAACUCCUACGGGAGGCAGCAGUAGGGAAUCUUCCACAAUGGACGAAAGUCUGAUGGAGCAACGCCGCGUGAGUGAAGAAGGGUUUCGGCUCGUAAAACUCUGUUGUUAAAGAAGAACAUAUCUGAGAGUAACUGUUCAGGUAUUGACGGUAUUUAACCAGAAAGCCACGGCUAACUACGUGCCAGCAGCCGCGGUAAUACGUAGGUGGCAAGCGUUGUCCGGAUUUAUUGGGCGUAAAGCGAGCGCAGGCGGUUUUUUAAGUCUGAUGUGAAAGCCUUCGGCUCAACCGAAGAAGUGCAUCGGAAACUGGGAAACUUGAGUGCAGAAGAGGACAGUGGAACUCCAUGUGUAGCGGUGAAAUGCGUAGAUAUAUGGAAGAACACCAGUGGCGAAGGCGGCUGUCUGGUCUGUAACUGACGCUGAGGCUCGAAAGUAUGGGUAGCAAACAGGAUUAGAUACCCUGGUAGUCCAUACCGUAAACGAUGAAUGCUAAGUGUUGGAGGGUUUCCGCCCUUCAGUGCUGCAGCUAACGCAUUAAGCAUUCCGCCUGGGGAGUACGGCCGCAAGGCUGAAACUCAAAGGAAUUGACGGGGGCCCGCACAAGCGGUGGAGCAUGUGGUUUAAUUCGAAGCUACGCGAAGAACCUUACCAGGUCUUGACAUACUAUGCAAAUCUAAGAGAUUAGACGUUCCCUUCGGGGACAUGGAUACAGGUGGUGCAUGGUUGUCGUCAGCUCGUGUCGUGAGAUGUUGGGUUAAGUCCCGCAACGAGCGCAACCCUUAUUAUCAGUUGCCAGCAUUAAGUUGGGCACUCUGGUGAGACUGCCGGUGACAAACCGGAGGAAGGUGGGGAUGACGUCAAAUCAUCAUGCCCCUUAUGACCUGGGCUACACACGUGCUACAAUGGAUGGUACAACGAGUUGCGAACUCGCGAGAGUAAGCUAAUCUCUUAAAGCCAUUCUCAGUUCGGAUUGUAGGCUGCAACUCGCCUACAUGAAGUCGGAAUCGCUAGUAAUCGCGGAUCAGCAUGCCGCGGUGAAUACGUUCCCGGGCCUUGUACACACCGCCCGUCACACCAUGAGAGUUUGUAACACCCAAAGUCGGUGGGGU
rnacentral:rRNA from 1 species